rnacentral:misc_RNA from 1 species
UACGUACUGUGCGAACGUUAUUCGGAAUCACUGGGCUUAAAGGGUGUGUAGGCGGCCGAUCAAGUAGGGUGUGAAAGGCUCCGGCUCAACCGGGGCACUGCGCUCUAGACUGUUUGGCUUGAGUGAGACAGGGGUGUGCGGAACUUCCAGUGGAGCGGUGAAAUGUGUUGAUAUUGGAAGGAACGCCGGUGGCGAAAGCGGCACACUGGGUCUUGUCUGACGCUGAGACACGAAAGCCAGGGGAGCGAACGGG